rnacentral:rRNA from 1 species
UGAGUACGAGAUGCUACGGCAUCGAAGCAGUCUAUGUCAUACUUCCAAGAAAAGCUUGCAAUGUCAUAAACAAAUAAUGCCUGUACCAUAACCGACACAGGUGGGUAGGUAGAGUAUACUAAGGGGCGCGAGAUAACUCUCUCUAAGGAACUCGGCAAAAUGACUCCGUAACUUCGGGAGAAGGAGUGCCCUAUUUUUAUAAGGUUGCAAUAACAAGAUCCAAGCAACUGUUUACCAAAAACACAGGUCUCCGCUAAGUCGUAAGACGAUGUAUGGGGGCUGACGCCUGCCCAGUGCCAGAAGGUUAAAGAAGUUGGUUAGCAUUAGCGAAGCUGAUAACUGAAGCCCUGGUGAACGGCGGCCGUAACUAUAACGGUCCUAAGGUAGCGAAAUUCCUUGUCGGGUAAGUUCCGACCCGCACGAAAGGCGUAAUGAUUUGGAUACUGUCUCGGAGAGGGGCUCGGUGAAAUAGACUUGUCUGUGAAGAUGCGGACUACCUGCACCUGGACAGAAAGACCCUAUGAAGCUUUACUGUAACUUGAGAUUGAAAUUGGACUUUAUCUGCGCAGUAUAGGUGGGAGACGUUGAAAAUAUUCUUGCGGGAAUAUUGGAGUCAUCAGUGAGAUACCACUCUUAUAAUGUUAGAUUUCUAACUUUGUAUCAUUAUCUGGUCAAAGAACAGUUUCAGGCGGGCAGUUUGACUGGGGCGGUCGCCUCCCAAACGGUAACGGAGGCGCACAAAGGUUUCCUCUGAACGUGUAGAAAUCGUAUCUAGAGUGUAAAGGCAUAAGGAAGCUUGACUGUGAGACCUACAAGUCGAGCAGGGACGAAAGUCGGUCUUAGUGAUCUGACGGUGCUGAGUGGAAAGGCCGUCACUCAACGGAUAAAAGUUACUCUAGGAUAACAGGCUGAUCUCCCCCAAGAGUUCACAUCGACGGGGAGGUUUGGCACCUCGAUGUCGGCUCAUCGCAUCCUGGGGCGGUAGUACGUCCCAAGGGUUGGGCUGUUCGCCCAUGAAAGCGGUACGCGAGCUGGGUUCAGAACGUCGUGAGACAGUUCGGUCCAUAUCCGGUGUAGGCGUUAGAAUAUUGAGAGGAGCCUUCUUUAGUACGAGAGGACCGAGAAGGACAUACCUCUGGUGUACCAGUUAUCGUGCCAACGGUAAACGCUGGGUAGCCAUGUAUGGAGAGGAUAACCGCUGAAAGCAUCUAAGUGGGAAGCCCACCUCAAGAUAAG